UACGAAGGGUGCAAGCGUUACUCGGAAUUACUGGGCGUAAAGCGUGCGUAGGUGGUUUGUUAAGUCUGAUGUGAAAGCCCUGGGCUCAACCUGGGAAUUGCAUUGGAUACUGGCAGGCUAGAGUGCGGUAGAGGAUGGCGGAAUUCCCGGUGUAGCAGUGAAAUGCGUAGAGAUCGGGAGGAACAUCUGUGGCGAAAGCGGCUCACUGGACCACAACUGACGCUGAGGCGCGAAAGCUAGGGGAGCAAACAGG
rnacentral:rRNA from 1 species